rnacentral:rRNA from 1 species
AUGGAAAAGGAUAGUAGCAUUGCCCCUUUUUAUUUUCUCUUCUUUUUUUUGGGCCUUUCUUUUUUCUUUUGGCCUUUCUCUCUUUUUUUGGGACAAUGCUCUAUGAAUGAUGAUCAUCACACUUCUAUUUAUUUACAACUCAAUGAUUACAACUCGAUACUAGAACAAAAUAUGACUCUACAUGAAUGCCUCCGGCGGUGUACCGGUAUGGGCAAUGAAUCAAGAGUGACAUGUAUGAUAAUAUGCAUGGUGGCUUUGCCACAAAUACGAUGUCAACUACAUGAUCAUGCAAGGCAAUAUGACAAUGAUGAACGUGUCAUGAUAAACGGAACGGUGGAAAGUUGCAUGGCAAUAUAUCUCGGAAUGGCUAUGGAAAUGCCAUAA